GAUGAAGAACGUAGCGAAAUGCGAUAAGUAAUGUGAAUUGCAGAAUUCAGUGAAUCAUCGAAUCUUUGAACGCACAUUGCGCCCUCUGGUAUUCCGGGGGGCAUGCCUGUUCGAGCGUCAUUACAACCCUCAAGCUCUGCUUGGUAUUGGGCUCUGCCGGUCCUGGCAGGCCUCAAAGUCAGUGGCGGUGCCAUCCGGCUCCAAGCGUAGUAAUUCUUCUCGCUUCGGAGGCCGCGGUGCGUGCUAGCCAGCAACCCCCAAUUUUUUUCAGGUUGACCUCAAAUCAGGUAGGACUACCCGCUGAACUUAAGCAUAUCAAUAAGCGGAGGA
rnacentral:misc_RNA from 1 species